rnacentral:lncRNA from 1 species
GGCAGUGGUUCCCCUUUCCCGCUCCUCUAAGGAUGCUUAGACUAACCGAGUGUUUUCUAUGUGGUUCUCCUUGAAGGUCAUAGCAGCAAACCCCGAGAGAGGAUGUAUAAGGAAUACCAAGCCUUUCCCAACAAAAAGCGGGAAGGGGCCCAGGCCCCAGGAGUCCCUCGCCGAAGGAGGACUCACAGAAAUAAAAUCCACACGCACCUGGAGAUCCGAAGUCUCCCGGCUGGGUGCACGAGUCUACCCUGCUUCCGCCUCGUCAGGCCUGUUCUCCUUGGGUUCACACAGCCAUUUACCAGACCUCUUAGUCCCCACAUCGCCGGAGAGAUCGAGCGUCCCAUCCCCAGGAGUCAUGCCACGAGCACGAAAAGGUUGCAUUAAUGAUGGACAGUGCUCAGCAAGACAGUCGAAAGACUGCCGGAGGGAAAGGUUGCUAUCACUGUCAAGAUCAUUAAGUCGCCGGCGUUUCUUCCUGCGAGCAGCAGCUGCCCUCUGGGGCCGUUUAUUUUCCUUUCUUUCUUCAUCCAAAAUAGUAGAAAUGUCUUUCCCACGGUGACCUGUGAUGGUGGAGAUAUCUUUUCCCCGGCCAACUCCUGAAAGGAAGAAGUGUCUGUGGGCCUUUCUGACUCAACAAUAAUUUUAGGUCCCACAACAAGAAUGAAAGCCACUGAGUAAAACAGGUGGGGAUGCACCUGUCCUGGGACACACAGGCUGCACAGCCGCUGUGCUCUCCUCUCCUCUCUGUGGGCAUCACUGUGCUGGACGAUGCAGACGUGUGAAGAAGAGGCCUCCUCGGUGGAGGGGACCAUGACAGUGUCUGUUCCUCCUUGGGAUGCUGAAUACACUCUAUGUUGAAUACCUGUGUUUUCUGUCAGUACCAGUUCAUGCCAGAUCAAAGUGGACUUCUCCAUUUGAAGCAACAUGUUGUUAAUACUUUUAUAUUAUUUUCUAUUUUAGAUUUUAUACAAUACAAGAAAUAAAAGACCAAAUAUCAAAUUG